AAUCCGUGUGUGUGUGUUUGUGGCUCUAGGGAGGAUGGUUAGGUAAUAUCCGCAGGAUUGAACCGGGGAAAGUUGUUUCCUGAACUCUUGGUGCAGUUUGUUGAAGCCCGGCCCUGCAGCACUUCACACAGGAAAAGGAAGACGGAUGCAGACGCAGGGAAAAAUAUCGAAACGAAAAGAAAAUAUCGAGACAAAUGACGUGAAACCAUGGAAGUGGCGGACACACCAGCAUCGCGCAGUGAGGAGAAUGAUGUAGAAGACCUGCAGACGCAGCUAAUCGAGUGCCGAGCUCAGCUGGAACACUGGCAGGGUGUGGCGAGGAUCUGUGAGCUUAGCAAACAGGAGGAGUUGCAGGAACUGCAAAAACAAUGCGACCAGGAGAUUCAGUCCUUGCAGGAGGCUCUGAGAGAAACAGCUGCUCAGUAUGAGGCCAGAAUAUCUGUUUUGCAGUCAGAGCGAGCACAGUGGAGGAGAGCCGCUCUGCCCCAUGACACUAAGGGCUUCUUUAAAAAGGGCAAGCUGGAGGGUACCUCUCCCCCCAGUGAGGGGCCACAGGGUGACUCCUCUCCCCCACGAGGUUCUGACCAUGAGGGCUCAGGGUCAGACUCUGAUCCACUGGAGCUGUUGGCAGAGACGUCAGAUGCAGAGACAACAGGCCUUAUGAUGGACUACUUCCCCCAGCAUUGUGACUCUGCCUCCCUGUCUUCUUUCUCUCUGGACACGCCCUCCAUGCCACGACAUGCGCACCCUCAAGAUGACACCGCCUCCCUGGUGUCCACAGGAACGCUGGUGCCUGAAGCAAUCUACCUGCCACCACCAGGACACAGACUGGUCACACAUACCGACUGGGACAAAUUGCAAGCACAUCUUGUAGAGCUUCAAGAGGAGGUGACAACACUUCGAAAGCAGAAAGCUGAUCUGGAGAGAGAACUGGAUGUGCAAAGCACAGAGACACAAAAACAGUUGACAUUGCUUCAGUCUCAGGUGCAGACUUCUGAGUCCCUCCUUCAAGACCUACAGAAAUCUUUUAGCCAGUCACAAAAUGCCGUUCAGAGCAGAUUGGCAGAGCUGUCUUACUCUCAGAAGAGAGUCUGUAAUGAACUCUCCAAGUUGAAAGGUGAAGACACUGAUGUGGAUGAAAGUAGCCUGCCACCCCCCAGUCCAACACUAGAGGCAGCCCACUGUGAGGAGAGGCUUCGUAUUGAAAUAGUCAACCUACAGGAACAGCUGGAGACACGCACAGAGGAGAGCGGUCUGUCUAUAAUAUAUUAUUACAUUACAUUCACAUUUAUGCAUUUGGCAGAUGCUUUUAUCCAGAAAGUGACUUGCAUCGCAUUCAUGCUGUACAGUUUCGCACAAUAAAACCUUUUAAUCUUUUCUACCUUACCAUUUGUCCUGUUUGUUGAAGAUUCUGUUUUCUCUGCACUGAUGCAUUUGUUCUCCUCUCCCACCUCCUCUCCUCAUCUUUCUCAUCACAUCUGAUCAUCCAGAGAUUUUAGAAGUCAAGCUUGCCAGCCUGACAGUAGAGACGGACCGCAUACAGAUCCAAAGGGAAAAGCUGGAGGCUGAGCUGCAGGAGUGUCGCGUGGAGGUGCAGGGUCUGCGAGUCGCGCUUGCUCACAUUCAGAAAGAGAACAAAUCUCACAUUCACGAGAAGGCGGUGUUACAGCAGCAGUGUUUAGAGUGUCGCAGUCAGGUGAUCAGUCUGCGCUCUCUACUAGACACUAGUCAGGCUGUGCAGAAGGAUUUUGUGCAGCUGUCACAGUCACUGCAGGUGAAAUUAGAGCAGAUUCGGCAAGCAGAAUCAUUGAACCAAGUCAAGCAGAUUCUAGGGGAAGAGAUUGAGGAAGAAACUGAUUUACCUGCAGAUGCCACAUGAAACAAUAAAUAUAAGAACAGGUGACUUUUUUGGGCAGACCAAAAGGAAGAGACUCUGUGGGCAAAGAGGUGGUCCUCAGAAAGGGCCAAACUGAGGUUGGCUGCCUAAAAAAAUGCAUUGACAUGAAGACUAAACGGCCACUCCUGCACACAUGGGUUCAUAAUGCUUCUAAUGAUCUCAAAACAUACAGGAUAAACAUGAUUCCUUAUCAAUCUGGACAAAUUGGAAUUGCUAAUACUUGAAUUUUGUGAAAUGCUAACUACUGUCUAUACUAGACUUAGUGCUACUGCAGUGUGAUUUGUAUAUUGCUGGCCUAAUCCUUCUUUCCUGAUAGACACUGACAGAUAUAUAUUACUCAUUACCAGCACCUGUCACCAGCAAAAUCAAAACCAAAAACAUACUGGUGAUUGAGACUGGGGGCAAUUGUAACUUUUUUUCCUUUAUAAUAAACUACUAUAGAUCUACCUGCCAAAUCUAUGUGCCAAAGUAACAGUACCAUUAAUAAACAUAUAUUGAUAAAGACUAUCAUAAUAUCAAAUAUUAUUACAUAUGGCUUUAAUUACUGAAUAUAAUAUUUUUCUCCUUUACAUGGUGCUAAACUAUUUUAUUAGCUGUGUAAAAAAAAAAAAAAAAAUUUAAAGUAAAAGUCUAAGUGGGUAAUGAAUUAUAAUUGUUAGAAAUGAAAUGCAUCCUUUUUACGAAAAUAUUUUAUUAUUUAAUAUACAUUUUAAGUGUAACUAGUUUUUGACUAGAUACGAGUCUAAUGAUGUUUAGUAAAAUUACUAGUGAAAUCCUGCUUAUUUGUGUGAUUAAAUCUUUCAAUUCAUACAAUUUUUAUUCAUAACUACUGUUACAAUUGCCCCUGACCGUGAUGAAAUAAUUUAUGCUUACCACCAGCAACAGUAUUAGCAUACUCCUUCUGUUCACUUAAAACCAAAAGGUAAAAUAUAUAUUAAAGUAAAUACAUUAACUUUAAACUGCAUAAGAAAAUAUUACACCUCAAAAAAUAUUUUUAUACCUUACAUUUUUUUUGUUGUUGUUGAAACAUUCUCUUAAAGUGAAAUGUUCAAACUUAUUGUUCUCAGGCAGAGCAAGAACCAAGUAUGUACUGAAAAGUGUCAUCACUUAAGAAUAAAUGUUUGUGUAUUACACCCCCCCCCCCACCCCACUAUAGUACUAUCUACCCUACAAUAAUGAUUUGUGCAUUCAAUUCAUGGCCAAAGUCACUUUACUGGAAAGAGCCAUCAUUUCAUUAUGAAGUAUCUGGUGCCUGAGCCAAUGAGCAGCAGAAGAUCAAUGAUAUGUUAAUGAUAUAUGAUAAAACACUAAAUCUGCUUGACUGGGGCUAAUAAAUGUAGCACAAUGUUAGUAACAAUUUUGAAUGCAUUACAUAUGAAAAAUUAAGAAUAAACUAAAAAAUGGUGUCAGA